rnacentral:pre_miRNA from 1 species
ACUCCUAGUCACGCAUUUAUGCGGCAGCACAGGACUGAACUGUGGGAGGACUUAUAUGAUUCUACCCCUUUCCAUUCUUAUGCUGCUUUGGAG